rnacentral:lncRNA from 1 species
CACAGGAGGUGAGACCAGUGAGGGAAAAAGUCAGGACCCAUGGCAGCACAGCUGGUGAUAAGGGCCCUGGACAGAAGGAAGGGGUCUAGGACCAGAAGAUCAGUUGAGAGACUGCUGUCGUCAGUAGACAGGGCUGGCUGGGGAGAGAGAGGCCUGUUGUCCACUGGCACCUGGGACUCAAGUGAUGGAGAGGAGCGGCAGGAGGAAUGUGGGGAGUGGGAAGGCUUUUCCUGACUUUGGGCUCAGCAGUGAACCAACAAGCCACUGAACUAAAGCACUGAAUAUGGGUAGUCUGUGAAGGGCCCACCUGCACAUAGCUCAGAAAUACUUGGG